CCUACGGGAGGCAGCAGUGAGGAAUAUUGGUCAAUGGACGAGAGUCUGAACCAGCCAAGUAGCGUGAAGGAUGACUGCCCUAUGGGUUGUAAACUUCUUUUAUAUGGGAAUAAAACGUUCCACGUGUGGGAUUUUGUAUGUACCAUAUGAAUAAGGAUCGGCUAACUCCGGGCCAGCAGCCGCGGUAAUACGGAGGAUCCGAGCGUUAACCGGAUUUAUUGGGUUUAAAGGGAGCGUAGGUGGAUUGUUAAGUCAGUUGUGAAAGUUUGCGGCUCAACCGUAAAAUUGCAGUUGAAACUGGCAGUCUUGAGUACAGUAGAGGUGGGCGGAAUUCGUGGUGUAGCGGUGAAAUGCUUAGAUAUCACGAAGAACUCCGAUUGCGAAGGCAGUUCACUGGACUGCAACUGACACUGAGGCUCGAAAGUGUGGGUAUCAAACAGGAUUAGAUACCCCAGUAGUC
rnacentral:rRNA from 1 species